rnacentral:rRNA from 1 species
UGGGGAAUAUUGGACAAUGGGCGCAAGCCUGAUCCAGCCAUGCCGCGUGAGUGAUGAAGGCCCUAGGGUUGUAAAGCUCUUUCACCGGUGAAGAUAAUGACGGUAACCGGAGAAGAAGCCCCGGCUAACCUCGUGCCAGCAGCCGCGGUAAUACGAAGGGGGCUAGCGUUGUUCGGAUUUACUGGGCGUAAAGCGCACGUAGGCGGACUUUUAAGUCAGGGGUGAAAUCCCGGGGCUCAACCCCGGAACUGCCUUUGAUACUGGAAGUCUUGAGUAUGGUAGAGGUGAGUGGAAUUCCGAGUGUAGAGGUGAAAUUCGGAGAUAUUCGGAGAAACACCAGUGGAGAAGGCGGCUCACUGGACCAAUACUGACGCUGAGGUGCGAAAGCGGGGGGAGCAAACAGG